ensembl:lncRNA novel transcript
CAGGGCCAGUAAGGAGCAGGGCCGGGACUGGAACAUGGAGGGUCUGACCAGAGGCCCAGGUGCCUCUCCCCUGCCAGGCUGCCUCUCCUCUGGGUCUUGGUGUCUCCAUCUGUAAGAGCUCCUGCUGCUCCUUCCUGCUGAGCAAACCCACCAGAAGCCAGAGGCCAGGGAGCUCGUGUGAGGCAUCAGUCCACAGAGCAGAGGCAGAGAACGCAGCUGCAGGGCCGGCGGAGAGGACCUAGUCCUGGCAGGUGGGGCUGGGAGGGCAGAAGCUCUGCAGAUCUGUGGGAAGAGCCUGGAAGCCAGAGUCAGCUGUCUUGUGUCACACCUACUGUGUGCCACAGGAUGCGCCGCUUCUCCUCCCAAGCCUUGGUUUCCUCAUCUGUCCUCUGGGGCAGCCGACGGCUCCCCCUAGGAGUGCAGAGAAGCCGCCAUGGGUCAAUGUAGGGGAUGCAAUGGAUAUCUCUGUCAUUCAUCUUUCUGGACAUGUGGAAGUGUAUCUGUUGAAUUAAUUCCUGGAAGCUGAAUGCCUGGGUCACAGGUCUAACUGUGAGAAAAGCGCGGGACAAAUCCGAAUUGAAGGACAGUCUCCUCAAAACUGUCAAGGUCAUCAAAGACAAGGAAAGUCUGAGAAACUGUCACAACCAAGAGGAGCCUAGGGAGACACACCGACUGAAUGCAAUGUGGGGUCCUAGAUGGGGUCCCGGCCCAGAAAAGGACGUUCGGGAAAACAAAGGAAAUCUGAAUCAUCUAUGGACUUCAGUUCAUGACUGACAUAGGUUCAGUUCAUGGACUGACAUAGGUUCAAUAAUUGUAACAAAUAUACCCACACUCAGGUAAGAUGCUAAUAUUAGGGGAAACAGUAUACAUAAACUCUAUACAAACU